UAUCUCUUUCCCUCUCAUUAAAAAUUUGUGAUUCGCAAAUUCGCAAAUUUGUGAACAAAAACUCGACCUCCGUCUACCGUCGCACGUACUAUUCGUGAGAACAAAAAACAUGGCCGUAUGAGUUACAAAUUUAUAUAAAUUAAUAUCGUUUCGCAUAACGCCUUAUUGAGUAUUGUGGUGGUGAACUUUAUUGUGUGUAAGUGAAAUAAGUGACACGCUGGAUUCUAGAAGGGGUACCUUUCACUGCUGCGGGAUCAACGGCCCUUCAGAUUACACCGUUAUGAACAGUACAUUGUUGCCAAAAAAUUGUUGCCCUGACGGGAACGAAAGAUGCAAAGUCGAGAAGGGCCAUAAGGGCUGCUGGACGAAGGUUAAAGAUUAUUUUACCCUGGUCUUAGGAGCUGCCAUUGGCUUCGUUAGUGUCCAGGUGGUCACAGCGAUAUUCGGACUAUGCCUUGUCAAUGGUAUAAAGAAUAAAAAUUCGUUUUAACGAAGAAAAUAAUUGAUCCCUCGACUGUCGGUUUUUUCACGCACAUAUAAAUUAAAAUCCACAAUGACUAGAGAGCGCCGAAAGUUGACAAUUAAUGUUGAUGAUGUUGAAUUACAAUUUUGUACUUUA